UAUAUAAAAAGGUGUAGAAAAUGUUGCUGCAUUUAAUUAACAUAUAUUAAUUUUCUUAUAUAUAAUAUACAUCAUAGAUAACUUAUUAUAAUCUUUCCUACAUGUUUUGUAGGUUAUGUUUAGUCAGCAACAACAAUAUAGAUUUAUAAGUUAUAACCGCCUUUAUAUAUUUUUUAUUUUUAAUAUUACAUGUUAAUUCGAUGCAACAUGUAUUGUGGAAUUGACGGUACAUUGAUAAUUAUACAAUUUAGAUCCAUCAUACAAUUUCGAUAAAAUUGUAUACGCUGCUUAUUCGAUGCAUUUUUGCACAAAAUGAACAAAAAAGUAUGGCAGAUAAAAGUUCUACUCUAUCUUGCGAAGCAAUAAAUUUAUCGUUAAAGUUAAAACUAACAGAUAUGUAUAUUAUCAAAUCUAUUAUUGACAAAAUGUAUAGCGAUAUGUUUCUUGUUUUGAUCUGCACAACUACAUAUUUUUAUAUUUAAAUAAUGUAUUUCUUAAGUAAAUUUAAAGAUAAUUUAUUAUUCGGGCUGCUAGUUUUACAUACAUUUCUGCAAAAGUCACAUAGCAUAUGUGUAAAUCAUACAAUAUAUAAAGGCAGUUAUAAACUUAUAAAUAUAAUUUAUAAAGACGUAUCAUAUUAAAACUAAUUUUAUAUUACAGGAUUCUGCCAAUUAUUCUUACAUCAUUCGGACAACUGUUCUUCUUAAAAUUUAAAAGAACGCAAAGAAUAACUGAAGUUUAUAAAAGUUGAAGAAAUUUUCACAAGGAUUAGAACAGCCUGCGACCACAUCAUCGGCAGAAAACUGAACUCAAAUGGAAGCGCUUGCACUCAUGUCACUAUCAUGUCCUGACAAUUUCGGAUUUUAUAAAACUAUAGGAGACGUGAUUGACGUUGAGAUUGUGAUUGACAGCUGGAGCAAAGCUAUAAUUUAGUUCAACAUUACGUGAAGUUUAUUUAAUGUUUUUCUCUUAUUUUCCCUCG
rnacentral:lncRNA from 1 species